UACGAAGGGGGCUAGCGUUGUUCGGAUUUACUGGGCGUAAAGCGCACGUAGGCGGAUCGAUCAGUCAGGGGUGAAAUCCCAGAGCUCAACUCUGGAACUGCCUUUGAUACUGUCGAUCUGGAGUAUGGAAGAGGUGAGUGGAAUUCCGAGUGUAGAGGUGAAAUUCGUAGAUAUUCGGAGGAACGCCAGUGGCGAAGGCGGCUCACUGGUCCAUUACUGACGCUGAGGUGCGAAAGCGUGGGGAGCAAACAGG
rnacentral:rRNA from 1 species